rnacentral:rRNA from 1 species
AUUGAACGCUGGCGGCAGGCCUAACACAUGCAAGUCGAACGGUAGCACAGAGAGCUUGCUCUCGGGUGACGAGUGGCGGACGGGUGGGUAACGUCUGGGAAACUGCCCGAUGGAGGGGGAUAACUACUGGAAACGGUAGCUAAUACCGCAUAACGUCGCAAGACCAAAGUGGGGGACCUUCGGGCCUCACACCAUCGGAGGUGCCCAGAUGGGAUUAGCUAGUAGGUGGGGUAAUGGCUCACCUAGGCGACGAGCCCUAGCUGGUCUGAGAGGAUGACCAGCCACACUGGAACUGAGACACGGUCCAGACUCCUACGGGAGGCAGCAGUGGGGAAUAUUGCACAAUGGGCGCAAGCCUGAUGCAGCCAUGCCGCGUGUAUGAAGAAGGCCUUCGGGUUGUAAAGUACUUUCAGCGGGGAGGAAGGCGGUGAAGUUAACAGCUUCACCGAUUGACGUUACCCGCAGAAGAAGCACCGGCUAACUCCGUGCCAGCAGCCGCGGUAA